rnacentral:misc_RNA from 1 species
UCACCGCUUGCGCGGGCAGUCUCCCUAGAGUGCCCUUGCGUAGCAACUAGGGACAAGGGUUGCGCUCGUUGCGGGACUUAACCCAACAUCUCACGACACGAGCUGACGACAGCCAUGCAGCACCUGUGUUCCGGUUCCCUUUCGGGCACACCCAGCUCUCACCAGGCUUCCAGACAUGUCAAGGGUAGGUAAGGUUGUUCGCGUUGCAUCGAAUUAAUCCACAUCAUCCACCGCUUGUGCGGGUCCCCGUCAAUUCCUUUGAGUUUUAACCUUGCGGCCGUACUCCCCAGGCGGUCAACUUCACGCGUUAGCUACGGUACCAAGGAAUCGCUUCCCCAACACCCAGUUGACAUCGUUUAGGGCGUGGACUAC